rnacentral:sRNA from 1 species
AUUGGUAAAAUUAAAAUCGCACUGUUAACAUAAUUAUUUAACGGCGUUAAAUUUUAAACGUCCAAAUUGAAAUUACUAUGGGUUUUUUUAAGGAUUUUUUCCUUAGUUGGAAU